rnacentral:rRNA from 1 species
UGGGGAAUUUUGGACAAUGGGGGAAACCCUGAUCCAGCCAUCCCGCGUGUGCGAUGAAGGCCUUCGGGUUGUAAAGCACUUUUGGCAGGAAAGAAACGUCAUGGGUUAAUACCCCGUGAAACUGACGGUACCUGCAGAAUAAGCACCGGCUAACUACGUCCCAGCAGCCGCGGUAAUACGUAGGGUGCAAGCGUUAAUCGGAAUUACUGGGCGUAAAGCGUGCGCAGGCGGUUCGGAAAGAAAGAUGUGAAAUCCCAGAGCUCAACUUUGGAACUGCAUUUUUAACUACCGGGCUAGAGUGUGUCAGAGGGAGGUGGAAUUCCGCGUGUAGCAGUGAAAUGCGUAGAUAUGCGGAGGAACACCGAUGGCGAAGGCAGCCUCCUGGGAUAACACUGACGCUCAUGCACGAAAGCGUGGGGAGCAAACAGG